rnacentral:tmRNA from 1 species
GGGGAUGUUUUGGUUUUGACAGCAUCGUAGACGGCAGCAAGCACGCCGGGAGUCGAAGGCCCUCCCGUUAAUCUCAGUCUUCAACCAAUAGUAGGCAACUACAACUAUUCAUACGCUUGCUAGUCACCAAGUGACACGCAUUAAUCAGAGCCGCCAAGGCUGCGGCACUGACGUAUAUCCCGCCAGGAUUCAGGCCGGUCCUUUCUGGCACACGGGGUAUCAUCAAGACCGGAUGCGCGGAGGGACUCCUUUAAACUCCGCUAAGAUUUAAAGGAUAAGCGUCGGCAUAGCCCGUCUUCCGGCAUACCGUCGCCGACAAUAAAGGAAGAAUAAGCGUGUAGAAAACUACCGGGUAUUAUGUUUGGACGGCGGUUCGAGUCCGCCCAUCUCCACGA